rnacentral:rRNA from 1 species
UACAGAGGUCCCAAGCGUUGUUCGGAUUCAUUGGGCGUAAAGGGUGCGUAGGUGGCGCUGUAAGUCGGGUGUGAAAUUUCGGAGCUUAACUCCGAAACUGCAUUCGAUACUGCGGUGCUCGAGGACUGGAGAGGAGACUGGAAUUCAUGGUGUAGCAGUGAAAUGCGUAGAGAUCAUGAGGAAGACCAGUGGCGAAGGCGGGUCUCUGGACAGUUCCUGACACUGAGGCACGAAGGCCAGGGGAGCAAACGGGG